rnacentral:rRNA from 1 species
UGCAGUCGAACGGAUCCUUCGGGAUUAGUGGCAGACGGGUGAGUAACGCGUGGGAAGCUACCUUGUGGUAGGGAACAACAGUUGGAAACGACUGCUAAUACCCUAUGAGCCCUAUGGGGGAAAGAUUUAUCGCCAUGAGAUGUGCCCGCGUUAGAUUAGCUAGUUGGUAAGGUAAUGGCUUACCAAGGCGACGAUCUAUAGCUGGUCUGAGAGGAUGAUCAGCCACACUGGGACUGAGACACGGCCCAGACUCCUACGGGAGGCAGCAGUGGGGAAUAUUGGACAAUGGGGGCAACCCUGAUCCAGCCAUGCCGCGUGUGUGAUGACGGCCUUAGGGUUGUAAAGCACUUUCAGCAGUGAAGAUAAUGACAUUAACUGCAGAAGAAGCCCCGGCUAACUUCGUGCCAGCAGCCGCGGUAAUACGAAGGGGGCUAGCGUUGUUCGGAAUCACUGGGCGUAAAGCGUACGUAGGCGGACUGAUAAGUUAGGGGUGAAAUCCCAAGGCUCAACCUUGGAACUGCCUUUGAUACUGUCAGUCUUGAGAUCGAGAGAGGUGAGUGGAACUCCGAGUGUAGAGGUGAAAUUCGUAGAUAUUCGGAAGAACACCAGUGGCGAAGGCGGCUCACUGGCUCGAUACUGACGCUGAGGUA